rnacentral:tmRNA from 1 species
GGGGGCGAUCGGUCUCGACUGGGGUACGAUGGCAUUGAUUGCAUGCAGAGGUUGUCAGGCGGCCUCUCAAAAAACCUGGCACAUAAUAGACGCCAAAACUAACCUUAUUUCAUUGGAUGCUUACAGAGCAGACGUGAACGUUGCCAACAACGUGAUACCGUUCUCUGGAGCAGCCAUGGCGUUAGCUCCGGCUAUGUAAAUAGCCAUGUCCGGCGUUUGACGCCUGCUAAGACACCGGGCACAGAUAGCAGGAUAGCCUGACCGGCGUCGCUCUACGCCGUGAUGGUGAAAUUUUCAUAGAGCUGGCCGUACGGUGGUUUGCCGGUUUCGUGCCGUGCGGUGAGAUUCUGUAAAUCGGCUAAGCAUGUAGUAUAUCAUUGUUGGACUGCUCUAGGACGCGGGUUCGAAUCCCGCCGCCUCCACCA